GUAGGCGGGCAGAUAAAGUGUGGAGGAAAGGAUGACUUAGGGGAGAGGGGGAAGCCCUGGGAGAACAAAGCUCCGGGCCGUCGGCCUCCCAAGAGUCGCAGAAGUGACCGCCACGGGCUCGUGCACAGGCGGAAGCGGGGGGAGGGAGAGAGGCCGGGCCUAAAGCGCCCUCGCAGGUUUGGAAAACGCUGAGAGGGCACAGGGGGUGGGGAAAGUCGGAACCCGUAGCUAAAGGUUUGGCCCUUAGGCUAGUUUUUAAGGAAAUGGAUCUCAGGAAGGGGAGGAGGCACCACGCGCCCCGGAGAAGAGGGGGACGGAGCCGUCUGGCCGCCGCGGGCCUGUGCUUCCGCACCCCCCAGCUCUGCGCGUCGCCUGUCCCCGAGCGCCUCGCCUCCCAACUGUAAUCCCACACUCCCGCGAGCGCUGGGGCUGCGGAAUCGUUUGAGUUGGAACUGCAUCAGAUGAGAACGCCGGGAGGUGAGAUCGGACACGAAAAUUGGACACGUGGAGAAUUAGCCGGGCUGGAGAAGCGCUGGGUGCAGACUCAAACAAUGGUUUCCAGCAGCGGAGCGAAAGGAGGCACCUUCCCACCUCACCCCCAAAGGCAGCAGCCUCAGCGUAUGGUGGGAAACACCCUCAUCAUUGCCCACCCCUCCCUCAGAGCCUAGGAAAGGUCCAGCGUGGACCCCUUCCCAAGACACACGCCCCUGGGGUGCGCCUGGACCGGCAUGCUGGCUCUGAGAUCAUUGUGCCAGGGGUCUUUGGGGACUUAUAAAUUAUAAGGGAUUCUUUUCCCCUGGGAAGGUGUGGCAUCAAAG